rnacentral:lncRNA from 12 species
AGAAUGAGAACUGAAGUUUUAACCCUUGCCAGAUAGAAAGCGUCACUUAAGCCAACAAACUAAGUAAUGCCUAAAAAAUAGCUACACAGCAAAGCCUAAUAUAAUUUACACAUGUUCACACAAAAUAUAUUUAGGCUGUCAAAUUAGCACAACAAAGUAUGUUUCACUAUCUUUUCUAGGCUAAUUUGUCUCGAGCUGUUGUCUGUGGAGCAGUUUAUAGACUCGUGUCUUGUAUGGUUUUUCCAGUACCAGGGCUUUAAAAUUCAAUAGCAACCUGCGAGAGCAAAGCAACGCCCUGGGAUUACUUGAAAGAAUGAACUUGAGUGGUUUCUCCCUAGCUGCUCCUUCAUUGCCCCCACCCAGACAUGACAGAUGAGAAAUAAAAGAAUCAGCUGACUUCA